AUUGAACGCUGGCGGCAGGCCUAACACAUGCGAGUCGAACGGUAACAGGAAGACGCUUGCUUCUUUGCUGACGAGUGGCGGACGGGUGAGUAAUGUCUGGGAAACUGCCUGAUGGAGGGGGAUAACUACUGGAAACGGUAGCUAAUACCGCAUAACGUCGCAAGACCAAAAAGGGGGACCUUCGGGCCUCUUGCCAUCGGAUGUGCCCAGAUGGGAUUAGCUAGUAGGGGGGGUAACGGCUCACCUAGGCGACGAUCCCUAGCUGGUCUGAGAGGAUGACCAGCCACACUGGAACUGAGACACGGUCCAGACUCCUACGGGAGGCAGCAGUGGGGAAUAUUGCACAAUGGGCGCAAGCCUGAUGCAGCCAUGCCGCGUGUAUGAAGAAGGCCUUCGGGUUGUAAAGUACUUUCAGCGGGGAGGAAGGGAGUAAAGUUAAUACCUUUGCUCAUUGACGUUACCCGCAGAAGAAGCACCGGCUAACUCCGUG
rnacentral:rRNA from 1 species